AGCGAAUGCUGGCGGCAGGCCUAACACAUGCAAGUCGAACGGGACUUUCGGGUCUAGUGGCGGACGGGUGAGUAACGCGUGGGAACGUGCCCUUUGGUUCGGAAUAGCCUCGGGAAACUGGGAGUAAUACCGGAUACGGUCGGAAGACGAAAGAUUUAUCGCCGAAGGAUCGGCCCGCGUUGGAUUAGGUAGUUGGUGGGGUAAAGGCCUACCAAGCCGACGAUCCAUAGCUGGUUUGAGAGGAUGAUCAGCCACACUGGGACUGAGACACGGCCCAGACUCCUACGGGAGGCAGCAGUGGGGAAUCUUGCGCAAUGGGCGAAAGCCUGACGCAGCCAUGCCGCGUGAAUGAUGAAGGUCUUAGGAUUGUAAAAUUCUUUCACCGGGGACGAUAAUGACGGUACCCGGAGAAGAAGCCCCGGCUAACUUCGUGCCAGCAGCCGCGGUAAU
rnacentral:rRNA from 1 species